rnacentral:rRNA from 1 species
GACGAACGCUGGCGGCGUGCCUAAUACAUGCAAGUAGAACGCACAGUUUAUACCGUAGCUUGCUACACCAUAGACUGUGAGUUGCGAACGGGUGAGUAACGCGUAGGUAACCUGCCUGGUAGCGGGGGAUAACUAUUGGAAACGAUAGCUAAUACCGCAUAAUAUUAAUUAUUGCAUGAUAAUUGAUUGAAAGCUGCAACUGCAUCACUACCAGAUGGACCUGCGUUGUAUUAGCUAGUAGGUGAGGUAACGGCUCACCUAGGCGACGAUACAUAGCCGACCUGAGAGGGUGAUCGGCCACACUGGGACUGAGACACGGCCCAGACUCCUACGGGAGGCAGCAGUAGGGAAUCUUCGGCAAUGGACGAAAGUCUGACCGAGCAACGCCGCGUGAGUGAAGAAGGUUUUCGGAUCGUAAAGCUCUGUUGUAAGAGAAGAACGGGUGUGAGAGUGGAAAGUUCACACUGUGACGGUAUCUGACCAGAAAGGGACGGCUAACUACGUG